ACGUGGAGAUAAAACUUGAGAAGGGGCAAAUAUUCACUGCUAAGAGUAUCUUUAUCACUGCUGUGAAGGAAUAUGCACUGCAGAAUAAGAAGAGUAUACAUUUUGAGAAGAGUGAUUCCAAGAGGGUUGUAGUUAAGUGCUUGAAAGGGUGUCCAUUCUAUAUAAGGGCAUCAAAGUACUCUGAGAAGACCUAUUUCCAGAUUGUGACACUGAUGCCUGACCAUACUUGCCACAGGACAUCAAAAAAUAGAAAAUUCAGGACCAGUUACAUUGCAAAAAAGUUUGUUGCUACCCUUAGGCAUUCCCCCACACUAAGGUGAGAGCUUUGGUUGAGGAGGCAAAGACAAGGUGGGGCAAAGGUCAGGGCACUUGAAAUGAUUCAAGCGGCAAUCUCUGAGCAGUAUUCCCAUCUGAGGAGCUAUGCAGAUGAACUCCUAAGGAGUAACCAGGCAGCACAGUGAUUAUUAAAAGCACAGUUGGGGUACCUGGUCCAGUUUUUGAAAGGAUCUAUGUAUGCUUUGCUGCUUGUAAAACUGCCUUUGCAACCACAUGUAGACCCUUGAUAGGAUUGGAUGGAUGUUUCCUAAAGGGUGUAUAUGGUGGGCAGUUGCUUAGUGCUGUGGGAAAGGAUGGCAACAACUAGAUGAUUCCCAUAGCAUUUGCUGUGGUAGAAGCUGAAACAAAAGAGUCAUGGACUUGGUUUCUGGAACUUUUGUUGUCUGAUUUGGACAGAAUUCAGCGUAGACCCUGGUGUUUCAUUUCAGAUCAACAAAAAGGCUUGGUGCCUACUUUGCAGGAGAUGAUUCCCAAUGUAGACCACAGGUUGUGUGUCAAGCAUUUGUAUGGUAACUGGAGGAAAAAGUAUCCUGGUGAGGAGAUGAAAGGAGCACUUUGGGUUGCAGCAAGAGCAAGCACGGAGCCAGAGUUUGAUAGGGCCAUGUAGAGGUUGAAGAAAUUGAAUGAAGAAACUUGGAAAGACAUGUGUGAAAUACCACCUAAGAUGUGGAGUAGGCCCGCAUUCAGCACCUAUCCUCAAUGUGAUCUCCAAGUCAACAACAUAUGCGAGGCCUUCAAUAGAGCCAUCCUGGAAUAUAGAGACAAGCCUAUAAUCUCACUCAUUGAAGGUCUGAAGUUUUAUCUGAGCUACAGGAUUGUGAGCAGAGAGAUUUAAUGUUGAGAUAUAGGGGUGACAUUUGUCCAAUGAUACAACAAAAACUGGAGUUGGCUAAACAAGAGUAUGAUGGUUGGUUUCCUCACUGGAAUGGAGAUACAGACUAUUCACUGUUUGAGGUGUCAAAGGGUAAGAACAAAUAUUUUGUGGUGCUGGCUAACAAUAGUUGUUCAUGCAGAAGGUGGGAUUUAUCAGGCAUCCCUUGCUGUCAUGCAUUCACAUGUAUGUGGUUUAACAACCAAAUACCAGAAACCUUUGUCAACAUGUGUUACAGGAAAGAUACUUUUCUGCAAACCUAUGGGCAUAUAAUAUUACCAUCUAAUGGUCCAAAGCUGUGGCCAGUGAGUAACUCCAUCCUCCAUACAUGAGAAGAGCUCCUGGGAGACCCAAGAAGGCAAGAAGGAAGGCUAAUGAUGAGCCUACAAAUCCUUACAGAAUAAGGCGACAAUAAUCAACUGUUAAAUGUAGGAGAUGUGGACAGUCUAGACACAAUGUCAGGACCUGUGUCGGAAAGACUGUUGCGGAUAGAGAGAUUCCUAAAGGAGGGAACAAGGACAAUAUACAGUUGCAACACCCUGAAGAGAGAGGCAAAGGAGCUGGGACGAAGGCAACUGCAAGUGGAACUAAGGCAACUGCAAAUGGGGAAAAAGGAAAGGGAGUUGCAGCUGCAACUGUAGACAAAGGAAAAGGAAUUGCAAUUGGGAGUGGAUCUAAUGGAAAGGCAACUAAGAAAAAAGCUGCUCCAACUAAGACAAAACCUGCUACUGCUAAGAAAACCACAAGAACUGCUGCUACUCAUACUAGGCAAACAGCCCAAGUUCAAGCACCCCAACCUCCACAAAGUUCUGCAAUACCACCCCGACCUCCAGCAGCACUGAAUCCUCAGCCUACUCCUACUCCAUCCUCACAAAUAGCAAGUUUUGUAACUGCUUCAGGUUCUGCUACAGAUGGAGGGAUGGGGAUAUCUAGGAAGAGACAGAAGUUAUUGGGAACUCAAGAAAGCACCACUGGUUAGAGAAGGAAGGAAGAGACAAGAGACUGAAUUUGAAUUAAGUCUAGUUAUUAGUACUAUGUAAUGAAGACCUAUGUCAUUUUGUGUGUGAUAAUCUCAGCGGUUGAGAUAUUCAGCUUAUCUAUGUUAUUUUGUGUUUGUUAACCUUAAUUUAUGGAUUGAUGGUAUGUAUUUUGGUAUGGAAGACUUUUUUGGACAUGUUAUUUAUUUGUCUUAAGGGUCUGGCAUUGUUUAUUUUGAAUGUUGAUUUAGGUUGCAUUUGGAUGAUUGCACUUAGUGCAACUAUACAAAUUGUUCAUUUUACUGUGCCAUUGGACUAUCAUAGAAUGGACUAGCAGCCAUUGCAUUUAUGUAAAACCAUUGAAGAUUCUCCAUUAAUAUCUACAUAAUUUUCACA